rnacentral:lncRNA from 1 species
UUAUACCAUGCUGCAGGGAAAUGUUCUGCACCGAUAAUAUCUUAAGCUAAUAGGUCGUUGUAUGAGUUGGUGAGUCUCAUACAUACCUUUGUUGUUUAAUAAAAUCAGAGCACCUUUGGACCCUCUUUGCACGCAUACUGAUUUGUACAUCUGUUUUCCCAUUGAAAGUUUAGGUGGAUUUAGUUUUAAUUCUGUAAAUUGAGCAAACUAUAGUCCAAAAACGACUAAAAAUUAAUAAAAAGAUAUAAAGAACGGUGUAAGUAUGUAUUUGUUACCUUUUCCGCAUCCUUCUGCUGCAUGUAUUCCAAGUUUACUUCUUGUCCAUCAUUUCAAUACCAUUCAAUGUUUCUAUCUCUACUGGGUUAGUUUUUGUAUGUACAUCAUUUGCAGCAAUAUUUCUGACGAAAAUUGUUUUGCAUCUUCCUUUGGACGAUUGAGUUGCUUGUGUUAAUAUCCGCUAAUGCCUUUACCAGGGUUUCGUGUUACAUGGACUUCUGUGGAUGAACAUAUCAAAGACGAUCUUGAUCUUCAGAGUGCUGCUCAAGAGGAAGAGGUAGCAGAUUCUGCUCAGAAUUUUCUACAGCAUAUUCCAGCGAGUUUCCAUCUCGUUGGUGAUACUUAAAUGGUGCUAAUGUGCCAGGUGCAGGCUAUUAUACUUGUAGCAGAAAGCAUGGGAGAAGGCACUCGGUGUGCUCUGAAUAGAAUUGUGCAGUUGAGGCUGAGAAACUUGUACGUUGCUUCACGUUCCUCUUUCCCUUCAGCAUCACACUUUCUUUAUACCAUAUAUUUUAUGUGUGAUAGAAAAAUCAUAUAGUUUUGGUCUCUGUCUGUGUUCACAUUCAUAUUGCCAUGUACCGAAGUAUAACAAUUCAUAGGUUCAAUUUUUCGAACUAAAACUACGACAAGAAUUAUGGAACAUAGGGAGUACAUAACAAUUCAUGUCACAAGACACAAGUGAAUGCUGCCAGCUUUCCACAGUUGAACUAAGCCGCAUGAUUGGGGGAAUCAAAUUUGUAUUAACAAAUGUAAAUCUAAUAACAAGAGUGUUUGGUUGAUUGAUUCCAUUAAUUCUGUAAACAAUUUCGGGGUGGAAUCUUCCUUUCUAAAACUUUGAAUUUCAUGGGUACAUUUUAGUCAUUUUGUUUGUUACUCUUCAUGGCUACUAUUUAUUUCAAGAGCCAAAACAUCAAUAUUGCUACCUGUAUCUGACCAUUUGAAAAGAGAAUACUGUUCUUUUAUAUAGUGCAGCCUGAUACAUGAAUAUGACAUGCUAUUUCGCAAGAGAACGCGCACAUCAAUUACUGUUAGAUUUAGGUUUAACUUCAUUACCUAUCCUAAGCUAGUGCGCCUACUCCCUCCGUCCGAAAAAGCUUGUCCCAAGCUUGUUCCUCAAAUGGAUGGUGCUAGAUACAUCCAUUUGAGGAACAAGCUUUUUCGGACGGAGGGAGUAUAUGAAACUCUAGUGGAAGUGUUGGGUCAUUACCAUAGUUGAAAAGCAGAGUCCCAUGGUCGUGCGCCUCCGAGCAGCGAGGAGUUGGUCAACAGAUGUGUAGGAUGCCCACGGCACAACCUUGCGGUGGCCGGUGGUGGUGGAUGGUCUUCGCCUCUCUUAGCUAGGUAUAAUGUGUUUCUUUUGCACCGUGCCGAUGUACUCCUAUGUCAUAUGUUUCUUUUGGGCCUAUGUCCUGGUGAAUCUCAAUACAAGUAAUGCGUGAGUAAUCACCAAGAUCACUUGUGUCAUAAUUGGGAGAUAGGAAAACUCUUGGUUGGUCAAUGGGAUUUGAUGGUGAAUGAAGGUACCAUUGUCUGAAUGCUCAUCUUAGUUCAUAAUUUGAAUUAUUUGACAACACGAUUUAUGUUACCUUUCUUUCAUGACAAAAUCUUCUAGUUGAGCCACGUAAAACAUUCUUAAUGAAGUCAAAAUUAAAACACCACUAACAUCAUCUAUUGCUUAGUCGAUACAAGAGAAGAGAUGUCAUUACGAUCAAUAUCUUCUUUCUUUAUUACACGCCUCACUACAAGUCUUUGUUUGAACCUUUUGAGAUUUUCCUCAGGAGUCAUGUUUGAUUUUGCAAAGCCAUUUACACCCCACCAUUUUAACUCGUUUAGAAAACUCUAUUAAGUUCUAUUAAGUUCCAUACAUCAGUAGAGCCCAUAGUCUUCAUUCUACAUGGCAAAAGACCAUUAACAUUUAAUGCUGAGGCUCAAAGCUAGGUGUUGUAUUUGGGAUUUCAUAGCCCUCGUUCCACAUGAUGCAUAUGAACAAAGAUUUCAUGGAUAUUCAGUACGUAAGAUCGCUUCUCCUCAAGAUUUAUGUUCCUAGGCCCCGACUCCCAUGAGCACAUUAUUUUUGUAGAACAUAUAUCAUGCUCCAGAGUCUAAUGUCUUAACAAGUACAAUUUUUUAUUCUAAUCCGCAUUACUAUUGGAUAGAAAAUGGAGAAGAACUUAACGAAGCAUGGCACAUGAUUAUAACAUCAUUGAUCCACAUGGUACAUUAGUAUCAUGAUUGACAUAGAUUGGCAAACUUGCCACUUUAGAAUUAAUGUGUGCUUCAGAUGUCAUAAGGGAGUAAGUAUACAUAGUCAUGGUUAAAACAAGGAGUUAGAAUAUUAGCGUGUUUUUCAUCCAUUCUCCAAAUAAGACUUCUUGUUGGUCCCAUCUUAAUAAGAGAACUUACUUUAAUUGUGGUGAUAUGGUCUUACUAGGAUAAGUGAUUGUUCCAUCCCCCCCUCGGAAUGUGGUAUACUAGAACAACCUCAAUUUCGAUGUCUCAUUAUUUACAUUUCUCUUACAGUUUGAUUCUACCAAAGCACACAGGAUCAUUGCAAAAUAUUCAUGAAAAUAACUCGCCCCAUGGCUAGACUAACUCACAUGAUUGUAAUUCAACUUAACUAGGGAUUUAAACCACACAUAAUCAUUGUAUUACAGAGACCAAGUGGUUCACCUCAAAAACAUGAAUCAAAUUUUCUUCUAAUGUGUUAUUCUUUAUUGUCCUUAUGACAAAACCCUUAAGUCUCAACUUUAUCGGGUGAAGUGCCCUUAAAAUGCUCCUCACUAGAGGCCAAGCACUCCUUGGCAUAGUCUGAGUCGGGAAUUGCAAUCUCUUAUUUCAGCUGAGAUGGUUUUUCUUUAUUGGACCGCUCGCGUUAUUUUGCCUUAUUGUCGUAAAUCUUUUUUUUGUUAGCGUAAUCUCAAUGUUAGUGGUAGGAGUCGUGGGAGCUUUUCCAUGUAAUGCAUGUUGUCGGUUGUUAAGCCCAAGCAUGAAAAUGCUCUUUUCCUUCCAUUUGAGAAAAUCAAAUGGAGUGGGUGCUUCCCCAUGUAAUUCUCAAUGUUAGUGGUAGGAGUUGUGGGAGCUUCCCAUGUAAUGCAUGUUGUAGGUUGUUAAGCCCAAGCAUGAAAAUGAUCUUUUCCUUCCAUUUGAGAAAAUCAACUCCAUCGUCCAAGUAAAUGGUACCAUUGUUGGUGUUCAUUGCUAAAAAGAGAUGAUAACUUGAGCGUCGUAACAAAACUUGAACCGUGAAUUAACUUUGUAAUUGAUCUAAAUUAGAAACAUGUUUAAUUGUUGCCAUUGAGUUGAAAACCAAAAGAAACAUAUGUAUUUAUAAUUGACCAUAAAAAUAAUCAACGCUAGUCAGAAUAUUAUCAUAUAUUGUAACAACUUCUGCUCACUAAAUAUUUGAUCAGAAGUUUUUGUUUGUUUUAUUUUGCUUAGAGAAACUUAAAAUUAAAUAAAGAAACCCAAAAGAUUUUCGUUGGGGCGUAACCCUCUCAGCAACGCGCCACAUCGGAACCCGCGCGUGGUGUCAAAUGGGCAAUGGCCGGGCCGUCACCCCCCACCCCCCCGAUGGUGCGCCGUAUCUUGAUCUAGAUACGGUGACAAGUGAGCCAGGAUCGGGCCGUCGUAUCCUUGGUGACGCGCUACAUCGGUGCCUGGAUGUAGUGGAAAAUGAGCAAGGAUCUUUGCAUUUGACUCGACGAGUGCGAAGGGUAAGGAAACUAGUCGGACCUAGGAGGAUCCGCUUAGGUAGCUGGAGUGUAGGGUCCCUGACAGGGAAGCUUCGGGAGCUAGUUGAUGCAGCGGUGAUGAGAGGUGUUGAUAUCCUUUGCAUCCAAGAAACCAAAUGGAGGGGAUAGAAGGCGAAGGAGGUGGGAGGAUACCGGCUUCAAGUUGCGGUACACAUGGACGGCUGCAAGCAGAAAUGGCGUUAGGCAUCUUGAUCAACAAGAGCCUCAUGUAUGGAGUGGUAGAUGUCAAGAGACGUGGAGACCGGAUUAUCUUGGUCAAGCUGGUAGUUGGGGACUUAGUUCUCAAUGUUAUUAGCGCGUAUGCCCCGCAAGUAGGCCACGAUGAGAAAACCAAGAGGGAGUUCUUGGCAGGCUUGGAGGACAUGGUUAGGAGUGUACUCAUUGGCGAGAAGCUCUUCAUAGGAGGAGACCUCAAUGGCCACGUGGGUACAUCUAACACAGGUUUUGAAGGGGUGCAUGGGGGACUUUGGCUAUGGCAUCAGGAAUCAAGGAGAAUAUGUCUUAAGCUUUGCUCUAGCCUACGACAUGAUCGUAGCUAACACCCUCUUUAAUAGAGAGAAUCACAUCUAGUGACUUUUAGUAGUGGUCAACACUCUAGCAAGAUUGAUUUCGUCGUCUCGAGAAGAGAAGAUAGGCGUGCGUGCCUAGACUGUAAGGUGAUACCUAGAGAGAGUGUUGUCCCUCAGUAUAAGCUUGUGGUUGCUGACUUCGCUUUCGGGUUCGUGUCCAGGGAUAAGCGUGCCAAAGUCGCUAGAACGAAGUGGUGAAAGCUCAAGGGGGAGGUAGCUCAGGCGUUCAAGGAGAGGGUUAUUAAGGAGGGCCCUUGGGAGGAAGGAGGGGAUGCGGACAAUAUGUGGAUGGAGAUGGUGACUUCCAUUUGUAAGGUGGCCUUGGAGGAGUUUGGAGUGUCCAGGGGAAGUAGAAGUGAAGCUAAAGAUACCUGGUGGUGGAAUGAUGGUGUCCAAAAGGCUAUUAAGGAGAAGAAAAAUUGUUUCGGACUCCUAUACCUAGAUAGGAGUGCAGACAACAUAGAGAAGUACAAGAUGGCGAAGAAGGCCGCAAAGCGACCUGUCAAUGAAGCAAGGGGUCGGGCGCAUGAGGACCUCUACCAGCGGUUAGACACAAAGGAAGGCGAAAGGGACAUGUAUAAGAUGGCCAAGAUCCGAGAGAGGAAGACGAGGGAUGUUGACCAAGUCAAAUGCAUCAAGGACGGAGCAGACCAACUCCUGGUGAAGGACGAGGAGAUUAAGCAGAUGGCGGGAGUACUUCAACAAGCUAUUCAAUGGGGAGAAUGAGAGUUCUACCAUUGAACUGGAUGACUCCUUUGAUGAUACCAGCAGGCGUUUUAUGUGGCGAAUCUAGGAGUCUGAGGUCAAGGAGGCUUUAAAAAGGAUGAAAGGAGGCAAGGCGAUGGGCCCCGACUGUAUCCCCAUUGAGGUGUGGAGAGGCCUCGGGGACAUAGCGGUAGUAUGGCUAACCAAGCUCUUCAACCUCAUUUUUCGGGCAAACAAGAUGCCAUAAGAAUGGGCGAGGCUGAGUAUAUUAGUACCAAUCUUGAAGAACAAGGGGGAUGUUCAGAGUUGUACUAAUUACCGUGGAAUUAAGCUGAUGAGCCAUACAAUGAAGCUAUGGGAGAGAGUCAUUGAGCACCGCUUAAGAAGAAUGACAAGCGUGACCAAAAAUCUGUUUGGUUUCAUGCGCGGGAGGUCGACCAUGGAAGCCAUUUUCUUGGUACGACAACAUAUGGAGAGAUACAGUGAGCAAAAGAAGGACCUGCAUAUGGUGUUCAUUGACUUGGAGAAGGCCUAUGAUAAGAUACCACGGAAUGUCAUGUGGUAGGCCUUAGAGAAACACAAGGUCCCAACAAAGUACAUUACCCUCAUCAAGGACAUGUACAAUAAUGUUGUGAUGAGUGUUCGAACAAGUAAUGGCGACAUUGUUGACUUCCCGAUUAAAACAGGACUGCACCAGGGUCAGCUUUGAGACCUCAUCUUUUUGCUUUGGUGAUUGAUGAGGUCACAAGGGAUAUACAGGGAGAUAUCCCAUGGUGUAUGCUCUUUGCAGAUGAUGUGGUGCUAGUCAAUAAUAGUCAGAUGGGGGUCAGUAGGAAGUUAGAGUUAUGGAGACAAACCUUGAAAUCGAAAGGUUUUAGGUUUAGUAGAGGUGCAGUUUCAGUACUUUGUAAAUCAGACUAUGUACCCACUACCUAUAAUAGAACUUGUUCUUAUCUAAGGUCUUGGAGUAGAUCUUGUGCUCUAGGUGUUCUGGAUUGAACUCUUGCUGCCAUAUCAGCCUACAUUUGCCUCUAGAGCGAUAUCCCUUCAACACUUGUGCUGUACACAUUGUAGCAGCAAAGUGGAGUUGCUCCUCCACAACCUUUGUGCUGCUUCAGGUGGCAUCAGAGCCUCGUUGACCCAUACUAGUUCUUGCUGUCCUCUUCGAGAGCAAGCUGCAGCAAGCAAUGGAGCAAUUGGAGAAGAGGAUGGAUGCCGCAUAACAACAAAUCAAAGAGCCACGUGAAGAUCUUAAUCGGAGAUUUGAUCAGUUUGGUUGAGAUGAUAAGAAAGGGUGUCCCCCCUGCUACCAUUGAAGGAGAUUCAUCUAAAGAAGAAGAAGAUGUUCAUCAAAGGAGAUGUAAUCUUGGAGCAAGACCGCCACAAUAAUGUGCUGUUCAACGUGCUUCAAGAAGGCCAAUAUCCUCCAUAUCCUCAUACCAAAGGCUCGUCUAGGAGUCAGCCUAAUAGAGUGGAAGAAAAGACGGCUCCACCAAAGGCAAAACGACCCAUCCAGAAGCAAACUAGAGGCAAGGGCAAGUCCAAUGAAGGCCCAAAAUGCUAUAAAUGUGGUGAAGAGGGACACAUAUCCAACAGCUGCCCACUAAGAAAAUUUGUUAACACAACUAUCCAUGAUGAUGAAGGCGAUGAGGAAGAAUACAAAUCUGAAGAUGUAGAGGGACAAGAGGUUUGUCAAGAAGAAGGUGAAGAGGUGGUAUGUGUGAUUCAGCAUCUCCUAUGUUCCACACCACAACCUGACGACACACAACGGAAGAAAAUAUUUGAGAGCAAAUGCACAGUGAAUGGCAAGGUAUGCAAGUUAGUGAUUGAUAGUUGCAGCUGCGAGAAUCUUAUCUCCCAGAAGUUGGUGAGCCAUUUAAAGCCUGAUACUCAUGAUCAUCCAAACUCCUACACUAUUGGGUGGAUCAAGAAAGGAGUGAAUAUUGUUACAGUAUAUGUGGAUUGUACUAGCCCUUUCCAUCUGUUUGGACAUUUGGUUGUGUUGGCUAGUGCAUGGAGCUUAACAUGGUAUCGGAGCUAAGGUCUUGAGUUCAAGUCCUGGUUUGCGCAAUUUAUUUAAAAAUUGCUGAUAGCCCCCCUUUGUGUCCACGUAGAGGCCUCUUGAGUCAUACGUGAGUUUCGCGCGUCGUCGCUCUCUUCCGGUUGUAUGUGUUGACUUGUCUUCCCCGUCACACGUGAGAGGGGGUGUUACAGUAUAUGUGGAUUGUACUAGCCCUUUCCAUCAGUUCGGACUUUUGGUUGUGUUGGCUAGUGCAUGAAGCUUAACAAAUAUGAGGAUCACCAAACAAUGCAACCUGUCACUUUCCUUGAGCAAGCAUUAUUGCUCAAAUGUGUUGUGUGACGUAGUUGAUAUGGACGCUAGCCAUGUUCUUCUUGGGAGACCUUGGCAAUUUGAUGUGGAUACUACACACAAGGGCAAGGAAAACUCUACUCUUUCAUUUGUAACAAGAGAAAGAUCAUUAUCUUACCAAACAAAACCGAAGGUAAUACCUCUAAGGAGGAGGGGAAUACUAUGUUAACUAUCCCCCAUACCUCUCAUGAGUUUAUGGAAGACUUGAAGGAGGCAGAUUUGUGUGCUGCACUUGUUGUAAAAGGAGAAGAGCACCCGACUAUUGAAAUUCUAGCAAAGGUACGUGGUUUAUUGGUAGAAUUUCAGAACAUACUUGGAGAGCCACAAGGCUCGCCACCGAUGAGAGGAAUUCAACAUAGAAUUGACUUAAUUCCGGGAGCAAGUCUUCCUAAUCUUCCACACUAUCGAAUGAGCCCAAAGGAGCAUAUAUAUUGAAGGAGAAAGUGGAGGAAUUGCUGCAAAAGGGGCACAUUCGAGAAAGUAUUAGUCCAUGUGUUGUACCAGCCCUACUCACGCCAAAGAAAGAUGGAUCUUGGCGCAUCUGUACGGACAGUAGAGCCAUUAAUAAGAUCACUGUAAGGUAUAGAUUCCCGGUUCCCCGUUUGGAUGAUAUGUUGGAUCAGCUUAGUGGAGCAAGAGUGUUCACAAAGCUAGAUUUAAGAAGCGGAUAUCAUCAAAUCCGUAUCAAACCUGGGGAUGAAUGGAAAACCGCCUUCAAGACAAAGGAAGGGUUGUUUGAAUGGCUAGUCAUGCCAUUUGGACUCUCAAAUGCACCAAGUACCUUUAUGUGCUUAAUGAAUCAAGUCCUUCGACCCUUCUUGUCCCACUUUGUUGUGGUCUAUUUCGAUGACAUCUUGAUCUAUAGCAAGGAUGAGGAUGAACUCUUUGACCACAUUCGGAAGGUGCUAGAAGUACCAAGGGAAAAUGAGCUCUACGUCAACUUGAAGAAAUGUGUUUUCCUGCAAACACAACUUCUUUUUCUAGGAUUCGUCAUAACAUGUGACGGUAUUCGUGUUGAUGAUUCUAAGGUUGAAGCAAUCCGAGAAUGGCCAACUCCGAAGACCAUUUCUGAGGUAAGAAGUUUUCAUGGCCUUGCAACUUUCUAUAGGCGAUUUGUGAAGAAUUUCAGCACUAUCAUGGCACCAAUUGCCGAGUGUUUGAAGAAAGGAAAGUUCCAGUGGACAGAAGCAACUGAAGCUAGUUUCAAUGAUAUUAAACAAAAACUAUCACAAGCUCCUGUCUUGGUGCUACCUGAUUUCAACAAGACUUUUGGGUUGGAGUGUGAUGCAAGUGGAGUAGGCAUUGGAGCUAUUCUAUCUCAAGAAAGGAAGCCCAUUGCUUUCUUUAGUGAGAAGUUAAGUGAAGCUAGACAGAAAUGGAGCACCUAUCAGCAAGAAUUGUAUGCCGUUUUCACAACCUUGAAAAUUUGGGAAGUUUAUUUGCUGCCUAAAGAGUUCAUUGUAUAUAGUGACCAUCAAUCAUUGAAGCAUUUUAGAAAUCAAAAGCAUGUUGACCGCAUGCUAGUGAGGUGGGCAGCAUAUCUGGAGAGGUUUAACUAUCUCAUCGUGCAUAAAUAUGGGUCAACGAACUGAGUGGCCGAUGCUUUGAGUCGUCGUGCAUGCCUCCUGACUUCUUUUGAAGCUGAACUUCCAGGCAUGGAUCAAAUAAAGGAGUUGUAUGAGGAUGAUGAAGACUUUGGCCAUGUUUGGGUGAAGCACCUAAGGGGCCAGCCAUUAGGUGACGACUAUUUGGUGCAGGAUGGCUAUCUCUUCAAAAAUGAUCGUUUGUGCAUCCCAAGGAGUUCUCUGCGUGACAAACUAAUUAGAGAACUCCAUUCAAGUGAUCUUAGUGGCCAUGUUGGAUGGGACAAGACUAUCGCUAAUUUGGAAGCUCGCUACUUUUGGCCACAAGUAAAGAGAGAUGCUGGAAAGUUUGUCCAGUGAUGCCCUAUAUGUCAAACCUACAAAGGCCAAGUCCAGAACACGGGAUUAUACAUGCCUUUGCCUGUUCCUGUUGCUUCAUGAGAGGACAUCUCUAUGGACUUCGUCUUGGGCUUGCCAAGAACAAGACGAGGAGGUGAUGUUGUGUUUGUGAUCGUGGAUAGAUUCUCUAAGAUGGCCCAUUUCAUCCCAUGCCGCAAGACAACGGAUGCUCAUCAUGUGGCAAACCUAUUCUUUCGAGAAGUGUUCAGACUUCAUGGAGUUUCAAGGUCCAUUGUCUCAGACCGUGAUAGCAAGUUUCUUGCUGCAUUUUGGCUCACUUUGUGGAAGCAAUUCAACACUGAACUAAAAUUUUCUAGCACUGCUCAUCCACAAACAGGUGGGCAAACGGAAGUGGUGAACAAGUUUUUGGGUAAUCUGAUCCGUUGCAUUUGUGGAGAAAGAAAGGGGCAAUGAGAUAUGGCUUUAUCUCUUGCAGAGUUCUCCUACAGUAACUCCAAGCAUAGAUCCACAUGAAGGAGCCCUUUUUCAAUUGUCUACACUAAAGUUCCAACACAUGUGGUGGACCUGGUGAAACUAUCAUCAAGGGGAAACUCGAAAUCAACAUUAUCCUUUGCUGAUAAUUACACCGAGUUAUUUGAAGAGAUUCGCGGUGCUUUGGAACCACAAAAUCAGAAAUAUAAACAACUUGCUGAUUGCAAAAGGAGGCCAAAAUCAUUCCAAGUCGGUGAUAAGGUGAUGGUCUACCUCUGAAAAGAGAGGCUGCCUUUAGGUGUUAAAGGGAAACUUAGGCAGCGAAGAUAUGGGCCCUUCUCUAUCGUGAGGAAGAUAAAUGAUGCUUAUGUGAUAGAUCUUCCAAGUGACAUGGGUAUCUCCAACACUUUCAAUGUUGCGGACUUGACGCUCUACCAUCCAGAAGAAGUGCUCUAUGAAGAUAACUCGAGGGCGAGUUCCAAACAACCAGGGGAGAAUGACGAGGAACACUAGAUGAGAAGAAAGAAAAACACAUGCCAGAUCAGUUUGGCUACUUCUAGAUGCUUCCACUCUAGUGUAGUAUUUCUUUUGUUUUCUUUACCCUACCCACUGUUUCUAGAGUUCUCUAGUUAUAAGUAGUUGUGAGUAGAGAGAUGAAUCCUAAAUAAUGUUUUCUAAAGUGUUCCAGCUAUAAGUAGAAGUAUGUGAACCUAUAAAUAGAGGUCCUCACCUCUACUUUGUAAACCAGACUAUGUACCCACUACCUAUAAUAGAACUUGUUGUUCUUAUCUAAGGUCUUGGAGUAGAUCUUGUGCUCUAGGAAUUUUGGAUUGAACUCUUGCUGCCAUAUCAGCCUACAUUUGCCUCUAGAGCGAUAUCUAGCGCAACAUGUUGAAAUUGUUCCUUCAACACUUGUGUUAUACACAUUGUAGCAGCAAAGUGGAGUUGCUCCUCCACAACCUUUGUGCUGCUUCAAAGCGUGUUGAUAAUGACAAGAGAGGUCGGGGUAGAUCGAACGAGGAGUCCGUAAAGAAAGAUCUGAAGGAUUGGAGUAUCACCAAAGAACUAGCCAUGGACAGGGGUGCGUGGAAGCUUGCUAUCCAGGUGCUAGAUCCAUGACUUGGUCGCGAGAUCUUAUGGGUUUCACCUCUAGUCUACCCUAACUUGUUUGGGACUGAAGGCUUUGUUGUUGUCGUUGUUGUUAUAAACUUAAAAUUAUAUAAUGAUCAGCAAAAACAUUGGUUAAAUUAACAAGAAGUAUUGAUACAAAGCAACAACAUAAUGCAUUCCAAUGUGUCAUCAGACAAAAGGACUCACAUUCAAUUACAUAAUGUUUAGUAAAAUUUGACAAUAAAAGUUGCCAUCAACAAUUACAAUAACCAAUAGUAUUUAUUUUGUUAUUAAAAUUCUCAAUGACAUGGUAUAAAAAUGCCAUUAAUAUUGGACAUUAGUAUAACCGUAAUAAUAAACAUGACACCCACUAAGUGAACAUUAUUAGUGUAACAUUCACGAUGAAAAAUACAUUAAUAUUAAUCUUCAAAAUAUCAUAAAUUCUCCAAAUAAUAAAAUUUGGACAUUGAUAUUAAAUCAGGAUUCGCCAAAUAAUAAUGUUUGGUAAGUGAUAAUGAUUAGAUAAAUAACAUGGCUUGCUUUGCCAAUAAUUUUCAGCAACAAUUGUUGUAAAAUGACCAUGAUAUUAAUAAAAUUUUCAAAACAAAACUUUCUCGUUCCGAAAAUUAAUCAUAAUUUUGUCAACAUGGUCUUCAUUGCAUCAACCAAUGCAUGUCUAAAUUAAAGUACAUAAAGUGCACCAUGAAGAGACUUUAAUUUUGCCCAAUAGGCACACUGAUCCAACAUUAUUAAGUGGCACGGUGCGACGUGCAAAAUCGAACUGCAUGACUAUUAACGUUCAGCGUGAGAUGGCCUCAACCUAUUAAGGAAAUGCAGUGAGGAUGACAACAACAUAAACUUUUUGCUCUCAAAUAAAAGAUCUGAAUGAAAUAUUCAAAAACUUUAGGAGUGACUCAUAAUCGUGCUCAAGAUUAAUAUUAUUUUACUAUCUUAACAUAUAAACAUUAAACUGAUACUAAAAUUGGUAUCAACAUAGAAAAUGUCAUAAUUAUGACAUCAGCAUUAAUACCACAUUAAAGUUUUCUAAAUAAAAUCUCCUAGUCCAUUUUUCCAAAUAAAUAAAUAUGAUUUCUAGCAUAAAUCCAGGGAAAAUUUUAUUGAGAAAAUUUUAACGCGAUAUUAGUGUUGAUGCCAUUAUUAUGAUUUUUUUAGUGCUGAUCUCAUUUUUAGUACCAUUUGAAUGUUAAAUAUUAAGAUUGUAGAAUGAUAUUAAUGUUAAGCACAAUUAUGACUCACUCCCUAAAGUUUCUGAAUAUUUUAUUAGGAAAUUUAUUUGGGCAUGAAGUCUAUCUUGAUGGUAUCCUUAUUGCACUUCCUUAAGGGUGUGAUUAUUGCUAACGAGUUGAGGCCAUGUCAAGCAGAAUGCUAAUGGCCGUGUGGUUGGUUUUUCGCACCGCACUAUGUGAUCCAAUAAUGUUUGGCUAGUGCCUGUUGGGAAAAACUAAAGUAUUUGUCGAUGCAUUUUAAAUGCCCGGCUAAGUUGUACUCCCAAGUCUGUGAUGUCAGCCUAGCCAUGAGGUGAGAUAGGUGACCUUUUGACUGAAUGAUCAUGUGUGCUAUGAUACAGUUAAGAUGCAUGAUAAGUGUAAAUGAUGAGACAUCAUCGAAAUUGCGAGCUUGUUCUAUUAUACCACAUUUAGGCUUACUAACACCAAUAGCACUGACAACAAAAAAACGGUGGUACUUCUCCUAUUAGGAUGGAACCAACAAGAAGUCUUAUUUGGCUAAUGAAUGGAAACCACACUGGUGUUGUGACUACUUUUAUCCUGUUUAUGUGUACUUACUCCCUAAUGAAAAGCACACAUUAAUGUUAAAGAAGCAAGUUUGUCGGUCCAGUCUCAGUUAUGACAUUAACAUUGCUGUGGCUUGUGAUUAUAUUUCAGGUGAACUUUGUUUAUAAUCAUGUGACAUGUUUUUUAUUGAGUUCUUGUCCGGCCAAAGUGAUGUGGACCAAGAACUAAAAUGUAUGCAUGUUAAGACAUUAGACUCUAGAAUGUGAUAUAUGUUCUACUAGAGUAAAGUAAUCACCAAGAGCCUAGGAACACAAAUCAUGCGAUAUGAGUUCCUAUGCAUCAUGGACUAAGAAGGACUAGGAAAUCUCUAUUGCAUCACCUAAUGUUGAGCCUCAAUAUUUCCCUAUGACUAAUUGGUGCAUGAUUGCUCAUUGUGUAUUGUUGCCAUAUAGGGUGAAGACUACGAGCUCUGGUGUAUGGAACUUAGUAGAGUUUUCUAAGUGAGUUAAAAUGGUAGGCCAUAAAUGGCUCUGCAAAACUAAACGUAAUUUUGAGGGAGUUUUUGGGAGGCUCAAACAAUGGCCUGUAGCCACCAAAAGGCUCAUAAUAAAGAGAGAAGGGAUUGAUCACAAUGGCAUCAUCCUGUCUUGACUGAGGAAUUGUCACGAUGCUUGUGUUAUCACUCUGGCAUGCUUUUAUGCUGAUUGAAUUUUUAAAUAUCCUGCGUGGCUCAACAUGAAUGUUUUGUCAUGAAAGAUAGGAAACAUGGCAUGUUGUGAAUAAUUCAAGUUAUGAACUAAGUCAAGCGCUUAUACAAUGGUACCUUAAGUCUGCGGUGUGAGUUUCACUGCCUUUUGUGGAUGAAAUCUCAUUGGCCAACCAAGAGAUUUGAUGAUGCCUCAUGCAGUAUUUGUAUGGAGGUUCACCGGGACAUGAGUCCAAAAGGAGUAUAAGUCAUAUUGUAUUGAUAUGCACCGAUAGAGUAUGUAGGAAACACAUUAGGCUCAAGUACUCUGUCUCACCUGCUCCGAAUGUUAAGGGUGAUAAAAUUGUGACAUUUCAAUGACCGAGGAAUCAGUUAAAACUGACCUGAUAAUGCCAGUUCUUUAUGCUUCAGUUGUCAAAAGCACCAUAUGUAAUCAAAUAUGAACAUAUCCUUAUUUAUGUUGGGGAUACUCGGCAUACACUAAAUCUAGAAAUGUACACUACUCGAAAGCAGCCACCAAGUCUUGCAGUGUAUGCACAAUAAAAAAGAUUACACACUCUCUUAUAAGGAUACAAGUAACCUUGAAAUUGUAGGUUGGUCGGAAAUUGUUAAAUUGUUAUUUAUGUGAGGUGUGUGUGGAUAUUAUGAAUUCUACUCUACGUCAUGUUACAUCUCCACUCUUGUGGAAAGAGCUACAUCAUGGGAAAGCUCAAGAAAGGACAACCAUGGCAUCAUUAGUGAUGCAAACUAGUUCGUGUUAUGCUAAGAGGCUACCAGACAUGUUGUAUUCCGAAGGAAUUCUUUCCCCAAAAUUAAAAGUAGUAGACGACACCUUUAAACCAGUUAUAGUGAUUAUGAACACCCAAUGCUCUAUGCGAGUAAUAACAUGUCAAUUGUGUUAACAAAACUAUUGACACUAUAUUAAUGUUGUUGGAAGUAGAAUCCAAGAUUAAACAUAUGAUGUUUGUCUCAUAAGUUUUGUGGUUCAUCUUGCUAAAGGCUUAUCACUGACCCUUCUAUGGUUAUGUUGUCAGGCAUAGGUCCGGAGAUCCUUUUGAUGACAGUCAAAUAAACCAAUUCCCAUAAAGUAUUAUGCUUUUCAUUUCAAGAUAUGGUACUGUAAGUACAGAGGUUCAGUGACAUUUCUUUUGUCAUUGUAACACUUUAUUUUGGUCUGUUAUUUCUAUCGAGAGUUGGCCUAUGAUGUUUGCUUGUUAACCUUAUGAUAAAGGGGUAGAAUGUUGAAAUUAAUCUCCUGGUAUAACAAACCGAGAGAAAGUGGGGGAGAAAUGUCUCUUACCCUACGCACAUGUUUAUCCUGGCACCCAAAACCAAAGUUGGUUUCAGUCCCUUAGCAUCUCUGGCGCGCAUGCACAAACACAUUUUAUG